CACCAUCUUUUGCCUGGAAAUUUCGAAUGCUGCGGUCGCCAGACGGUGCUACUCAGAUUUUGGGUUUGGAUUGUACCUCCCGAGGCUAUGCUGCCAGAGUGCGCUGUGGGUUUAGAAGAGCAACAAAAGAUUAAUAAAUCUCCGAAAACAGGCAGACACCUUGUUUACAUGAUUGAAAUGGAACUUGAGACGAUAAUCUGCCAAAUUCUCUUGGGAUGUGAAGACUUGGUGGCAGCAAAUGCUUCAACAGCCAACAAUAUUAGAAAGUUUUUCAUUGCUGACCCGGAAAUCAACAUUUCUUACUUUCUGCAGUGGAAAUAGUUACCUAGUUCUAAGGCACAAGUUGCUUAGUAAGCUUUUUAUAAUGUUUCUAAAAUAAAUCUAGUUCCAGAUGGCUUUCGAAAACUGUACUAGAUUCAUAGGAAAAACCUAGAAUUAUAAAGUAAAUUAUAGUCAAAUCCAAUGACUAUUCUCUAGUUUUUUUCUAACUUGAGUCUUCUGCUACAUUUCGAACCACUGUUCAUGAUAUUCUCCUGGAAAUUGCUCUGUGUUAGUUUAUUAGUUUCUCUUAUGACUUCGCUGAUGUUUUUUGCUCUUUUCCCC